AGAGUUUGAUCCUGGCUCAGGAUGAACGCUGGCGGCGUGCCUAAUACAUGCAAGUCGAGCGAACGGACGAGAAGCUUGCUUCUCUGAUGUUAGCGGCGGACGGGUGAGUAACACGUGGAUAACCUACCUAUAAGACUGGGAUAACUUCGGGAAACCGGAGCUAAUACCGGAUAAUAUUUUGAACCGCAUGGUUCAAAAGUGAAAGACGGUCUUGCUGUCACUUAUAGAUGGAUCCGCGCUGCAUUAGCUAGUUGGUAAGGUAACGGCUUACCAAGGCAACGAUGCAUAGCCGACCUGAGAGGGUGAUCGGCCACACUGGAACUGAGACACGGUCCAGACUCCUACGGGAGGCAGCAGUAGGGAAUCUUCCGCAAUGGGCGAAAGCCUGACGGAGCAACGCCGCGUGAGUGAUGAAGGUCUUCGGAUCGUAAAACUCUGUUAUUAGGGAAGAACAUAUGUGUAAGUAACUGUGCACAUCUUGACGGUACCUAAUCAGAAAGCCACGGCUAACUACGUGCCAGCAGCCGCGGUAAUACGUAGGUGGCAAGCGUUAUCCGGAAUUAUUGGGCGUAAAGCGCGCGUAGGCGGUUUUUUAAGUCUGAUGUGAAAGCCCACGGCUCAACCGUGGAGGGUCAUUGGAAACUGGAAAACUUGAGUGCAGAAGAGGAAAGUGGAAUUCCAUGUGUAGCGGUGAAAUGCGCAGAGAUAUGGAGGAACACCAGUGGCGAAGGCGACUUUCUGGUCUGUAACUGACGCUGAUGUGCGAAAGCGUGGGGAUCAAACAGGAUUAGAUACCCUGGUAGUCCACGCCGUAAACGAUGAGUGCUAAGUGUUAGGGGGUUUCCGCCCCUUAGUGCUGCAGCUAACGCAUUAAGCACUCCGCCUGGGGAGUACGACCGCAAGGUUGAAACUCAAAGGAAUUGACGGGGACCCGCACAAGCGGUGGAGCAUGUGGUUUAAUUCGAAGCAACGCGAAGAACCUUACCAAAUCUUGACAUCCUUUGACAACUCUAGAGAUAGAGCCUUCCCCUUCGGGGGACAAAGUGACAGGUGGUGCAUGGUUGUCGUCAGCUCGUGUCGUGAGAUGUUGGGUUAAGUCCCGCAACGAGCGCAACCCUUAAGCUUAGUUGCCAUCAUUAAGUUGGGCACUCUAAGUUGACUGCCGGUGACAAACCGGAGGAAGGUGGGGAUGACGUCAAAUCAUCAUGCCCCUUAUGAUUUGGGCUACACACGUGCUACAAUGGACAAUACAAAGGGCAGCGAAACCGCGAGGUCAAGCAAAUCCCAUAAAGUUGUUCUCAGUUCGGAUUGUAGUCUGCAACUCGCCUACAUGAAGCUGGAAUCGCUAGUAAUCGUAGAUCAGCAUGCUACGGUGAAUACGUUCCCGGGUCUUGUACACACCGCCCGUCACACCACGAGAGUUUGUAACACCCGAAGCCGGUGGAGUAACCUUUUAGGAGCUAGCCGUCGAAGGUGGGACAAAUGAUUGGGGUGAAGUCGUAACAAGGUAGCCGUAUCGGAAGGUGCGGCUGGAUCACCU
rnacentral:rRNA from 1 species